GACGAACGCUGGCGGCGUGCCUAACACAUGCAAGUCGAGCGAAUGAAAUUCCUUCGGGAAUGGAUUUAGCGGCGGACGGGUGAGUAACACGUGGGCAACCUGCCUCAUAGAGGGGAAUAGCCUUCCGAAAGGGAGAUUAAUACCGCAUAAGAUUGUAGUACCGCAUGGUACAGCAAUUAAAGGAGCAAUCCGCUAUGAGAUGGGCCCGCGGCGCAUUAGCUAGUUGGUGAGGUAACGGCUCACCAAGGCGGCGAUGCGUAGCCGACCUGAGAGGGUGAUCGGCCAUAUUGGGACUGAGACACGGCCCAGACUCCUACGGGAGGCAGCAGUGGGGAAUAUUGCACAAUGGGGGAAACCCUGAUGCAGCAACGCCGCGUGAGUGAUGACGGCCUUCGGGUUGUAAAGCUCUGUCUUCAGGGACGAUAAUGACGGUACCUGAGGAGGAAGCAACGGCUAACUACGUGCCAGCCGCCGCAGUAAAAC
rnacentral:rRNA from 1 species